AUCCUUCUGGUUCUAGGGAAUGAUGAGUGGGUAGUCACAUGGUUUUGUGAAAUGUGCAACUCUAGUUGUUACGACUGAGCACAUCACCCUUCUGACC